AAGAUUAGCAGUUUAAGCCAAUGGUGUUGUUUCAUCAAGGCAAAGAAAGAUCCACAAGAAAAUAUAAGUAACAGCUGAAAUCUCAUCUUGAAAAUUGCAUAUCACGCUAUUCAAACACAAUUAUAUUAAAACAACGAACCAAUUAAACAAGGUGGCAACUCAAAGGUACAACACAACAAUAACACAGAUAUCUAUACCAUAGAGUCACAUCACAAAUACAAUUUCUAGUUCAUAUGAAUCCCAAGUGCAAACAUAAAAUAUCAACUAAAACAGGUGGUAAAGCUGUUAAAAUACC
rnacentral:misc_RNA from 1 species